UGGUGAAAGAGAACUGAAGGAACCAAAGAAAACCUAAAAGCUUGAGAGGAGAAAUUAAGCCAAGCCAAAGAGCAGUGUGUGGUCUUGAUCCUCAGCACUGUGAACCCACAGCUUGACACGUCAGAUUCCUGUCUUACUGCAGAAGCAAAGCUGUAUUUUCCUCCAUUGCUGUGGAGAGACUUUUCUGAUGUUGGUCCUGGUGUCACAUGAUGGCUGAGGUCAGAAGGCUGCGUAUCGGCGUGUGCAGGCUCCUUAUACCUGAAGAAAGCCCACCAUCAAUUCCUUUCCUUCAAAUCAUGAGGGCAGACCCCGAAGAGCAGUGUCUGUCAUUGUCCAGCGACU